rnacentral:rRNA from 1 species
CAGUCGCGUUCUCUGGGAUUCAGCCUUGCUUCUUGCUUGGUGCAUUUCCUAGUCUACGGGCCAGCAUGAAUCUUGAGCGGUGGAAAUGAUUGGAGGAAUGUAGCUUUGGUCUCGUAUCGAAGUGUUAUAGACUCUGGUAGAUGUGACGAUUGGGAUU